rnacentral:rRNA from 1 species
CCUGGCUCAGGAUGAACGCUGGCGGCGUGCUUAACACAUGCAAGUCGAACGAGGCUAUGCAGCGGAAGUUUCGGAUGGAAGCAGCAUAGACCGAGUGGCGGACGGGUGAGUAACACGUGGGUAAUCUGCCCUGCACAGGGGGAUAACAGCUGGAAACGGCUGUUAAUACCGCAUAUGCACACGUUAUCGCAUGAUAGAGUGUGGAAAGAUUUAUCGGUGCAGGAUGAGCCCGCGUCGGAUUAACUUGUUGGCAGGGUAACGGCCUACCAAGGUGAUGAUCCGUAGCCGGCCUGAGAGGGCGACCGGCCACAUUGGGACUGAGACACGGCCCAAACUCCUACGGGAGGCAGCAGUGGGGAAUAUUGCACAAUGGGCGCAAGCCUGAUGCAGCGACGCCGCGUGAAGGAAGACGUAUUUCGGUAUGUAAACUUCUAUCAGCGGGGAAGAAGAUGACGGUACCCGACUAAGAAGCCCCGGCUAACUACGUGCCAGCAGCUGC